GCAGAAGAAUGGGGGGUUUAGGAGGCCUGUUGUCAUCAAGAACCAUAAGCAACCGCAGCAGCAGCCAACUGUGGAUCCUAUCACGGGGAAAAGAUCCCUAAGAGUUUUGUGUUUUCACGAGGCCUGAUGCUUCCAUAUACUUCUCUUAACCUCAAGUGUCCUUUGCAAUACAAGCUAAUAAAAUGAAUUUCCCAGCAGUGCACUCUGGUUUCAGGAAAGAUGAAUUACGGAGGAGGAAGUAGAUGUUGCAUAUGUUUGAAUAAUUCCAAGGUAACCCUCUUGCUGUAUCUUUUGUUCCCCAUCACUCCUUAAGUGUUCCUUUUGUAGGUUACUUUCUAUUACUUUAAAUGAUCAUAUCUUGCUCAUUUAUCUCUCUGUCUCUCCAGUAUUGCACAGUUUAAAGGAGAGUUUUGACUAGGCUAUACAGAGAGAUGAUGUCAAGGCAAUUGUUGUGACACGUAUUGCACUGUGCUUUCCAAUUAAACAACUUACAAAUAAUUUGGAAGGGGCGACACUUAAGUUUGUUCAAUUUAAUGAGAUAGGCUUGGUAAUUAGAUAGGAUUUGAUGUCAAAAGAAGUGCUAUCUAUUAGGUUAAUUUUCAUGAAUUAUCUUUAGAUCUGUUUAUCUCAUUAGGAUAAUUUUUGUUAGUGGUCUACCAAGUCGUUUUUCGCUUUCAGUUUGGUGGUCGCAAUUGAUGAGUACUUUAUUUUCCUACCUGCAUGCUAGGACAGGGGAUUGUUUUGGAUCUUUGAAGGGGGACCAUGUCUCAUUCAAGAAGCUCAAAGCUUAAUAUAACAUGAUUAAAGACAACAUAUCUAAAGCGUUUUCAAUGCUAGCUUCUUUUAUAUAUAAUGAUUUUUUAAUUGCUCUGAUUAAGUUUUUUCAGUUUCAUCGCUAGGAUGUUUUUUUUAAAUCAUGUAAAAUGGAUAAAUGAUGUGUUUCAUUAUAAUAUGAAUGAUUUUGGGUUAAAAUGGUUGUGUUCCAUCAUGAACAUUGAGAUGAGGUAUGUGAGAUUCCUAGAGAGAAUGAGAGCGUAACCGCUUAGAGAGAGAAAGUAACUGAAUUUCCAGCUUGUUAUUUCUCAAAUGAGCUAAGAGUCUCUUACAAUUGGUCACCGUCCCCUAUUUAUAGUUGGGGGAGUUGGGCCUAACGCCUCUAAACCAUCCUAAUGGGCCGGUUGGGCCUCCAAGACGAAGGCCCAAGUCCCUGAUGCGCUCCUCGCCCUAGGCCAGCGCCCCUGGGCGAGGGACUCUGGGGUCUCGCCCAGUCCACAAGUCCACAAGACACCGAGCUCGAAGCAUGAGAGCUAAGUGUGUCUUUAAACAGGAAAGACAAGGCGAUGGACGUAAAAAACUAACUAAUGUUAAACACAAGGUACAGAAAUAAAGAGCAAUUGCCAACAUGGCUUGGUAAUUUAAAGCCUAAAAAUUUGAAAUUUUGAACGUCUUGCUACGCUCCCUUGGCGGCUUGAGUCCACAAGCGAGCUUGCAGCGAUGAUGCUGGAUUUGCCCGCCCCGCCAUAGUUACGCACGUGCCCUGAACCGUAACUUUUGACAUAUGUCAAGCCUGCGCCCCACGUUGCGCCCUGAGUUGAUACAAGGGUAAGUGAAUCCAAGGAAUCUCAGUCGCUAUCUCUGGAACGUCCUUUUGAAUCACAGUAGAGUCUGACAAUUUGAAUUCAAACCAAUAAGCUUUAACUGUUGUAACCCUUCGUUUAAUGCAUUGUUUUCUUCUUCCUGAAACUCAUGCUGCACUCCCUUAAGUAAUCAUUUUACCUUGUCACGUCAAGGCACAAUUCCCCAACCGCUACUCUACCUGGCCUUUAAAUUCUCUCUUCUUCCAUUUUUCGCCUUUUUCCCAUCAACUGUUCCCAUAUUCCUUCCUGACUCUCACACGCUCCGGUUCCCCUUGCCGAUCUUGCGAACUUAAAGAUCCGGCGGGGCCCUUUUAUUUUCUUAUUCUCUCUUUCUCCUUCUAUUUUUACGAUGCCUUCCGGCGGGGCCCUUUUCUCCGUGGAGGAGAUCAAAUCCCAUUGCUUGGCAACCUUUGCCACUCUUCCUUCCCCCAUCUUCGAGGCUCAUGAUCAGGGAGUUCUUGACCAACCAUCAGAGCUCUCUACUAGCGGAUCCCUUUCGGACCUUGCCCACAGGGCUGGUGGGCUUUGCAGGUCCCCGCUAUUAGAGGGCCUCCUUCGUACUUCCGGCUGCAAAGAGCAAGAUCGCCCUUGGCAACAUCGUGUGUUUAACGACCCCAAGUAUUCCCACUUCUUCUUUGUAUAUGAGUACUUGUUUCUUGAUCUUGGUGUUAAACUUCCCUUUUCACCCUUUCUCACCCAAGUGCUAUGUGAUAUUAACGUUUCUCCUUGUCAACUUCACCCUUGCUCCUGGGCUUAUCUGAAGUGCUUCGAAAUUCUCUGUCGCAGCGUUGAUGUGGUUCCUUCCCCUGCCCUCUUUUCUUUUUUCUUCGAAGCAGAUCCCCGAUCUCUAGAGACCCAUGGUUGGGUCAUCCUGGUGCCCCGGCCGGGCCGCGAACGAUUUGCCCCCCACCAGGUUGGCUUCGAAUCUUGCCUGGCUCGCCGGUAUUUCCGGGUCAUCGUCCACCCUGCUUACCCCUCGACAUUUCCACAGAAGGAUGGGAAGGCCCUUUUCCCUCUUUACUGGACACAGUGUCCCAAAACCACAUCCAAUUCUCUCGAGACGCGCUCUUCCUCUAGAGAGAAUUUCGCCAUUGGUGUCUUAUCCCAACUUCCUCUUUUCAGUUGCACUGACCUACUCAGUGUUUCCCCAGGAUCCAAACUGUUUCCUCGAUUAGGUUUUCCCUUUACCGUCCUCUUCACACCUUCCUCUUAAUCUCUUCGCUUCUGAUGACUCUUUCCUUUGCAUUUCAGGGAACAUGAAGUUUUCUACUUCCGAACUGCUGGAGGCCUUCCUCUCCGGGAACGAUAAGGUACCGUCCCCGGCUCAAGUUGGGGAGAAAAGGCAAAGCUCGCCGAUAAGUGAGGGCUCUCCCGAGAAAAAGAAGCUGGGCGAGACAGGCUCUCGGGUUGCACCUUUGACUGUUACGGGCGAGGGAUCCAUCGUGUCCGCCCCGGCUGUCCCGGAUAGCACACGUGACUCCUUGGUGCCCGAUCACCAGGGUGAGGCGGACACUUCCCUUGCCGUGGAUAUUUCUUGCCCCUUGGACUCAAUGGCGGGCCAGCAGCCUCCGUCCACUGACCGCCCGCUGUGUCCUCCGCCCGUCCAGACUACUCAAGAUUCACCUCCUCCUCGGACCACCCAAAGGACCCCUCUAGCAGCUCUUCUGUCGAUCCCUUCUCCUUUUUACUCUCUCAUCCUUGCCUUGAGAAAUUGAGGGAAGUGCCCAGCCAAAACCCGCAAGAGGUGGCCCAAGAAGCUGUGUCAAGUCUUCUUCGCACCGGCUGUCUGUUCGCUCAGGUGGCUUGGCAGGCUCGGCCUUUUACUGGAAUUGCGGGGCUUCGCCAAGAGGUGGAAAAGCUGCAGUCCAUCAACCUUCAAGCCAACGAGACCUGCUCCAAGUUGUCUGCCCAGUUAGCCACUGAGGUGGAUAGGACAAAGAAGAUGCAGAAAAAACUCGCGGAAGCGACGAUUGCAAAGGCUGCGGCGGACGAGAAGGAGAGGAAACUUGAGAACCAGGUUGAGGGACUCCGCAAAUACCUUAGUGCUAAGGAGGCCACUAUUGCUUCUCAGGAGGAAAGCCUUGCUGCCAAAGAUAAGGAGAUUGCCGAUCUGCGCGAAGGGCUGGCGGCCAAAGGUGAGUUACUUGCUGAGACCCGGUCAGAUUUGGAAUCGAAAUGCAAACUCUUGGUCGAGAAGGAUGCCCAGGCCAUCGCCUUGGAGGAGCAGAUAAGGAGAGAAGCUGCUUUCGCGACAGCCCACGAGCGUAUCUGCGGCUUCCUAAUUUGCAAAGCUCAGGUCAAGCACCUCCAUCCAAAUGUCGACCUUGCACCCCUGGGAGUUUUCAAGAAGGUCACCCCUGCCGGAUUGGUGGGUCGGGAAGAUCCACCGGAAGUUGCUCACGUUGACCUUGGAGACACUGUGGAGUAAGAGAGUAAAAUGUAAUGUUAACUUGUUUGAAGUUAUUGUAACGCCUUGUACUUCUUAAUUUCACUUAAACUUUUGUCUGUAUUUUACUUUCAAGUUUGAUCAAUUCAGCUUUAUUUUUUUACGUUUUAUGUUUGUUUUAGCGCUUUUCUGGAGUUUUUCUUUUCUCUCAACACCCCCCAUAGUUCCCCUAUUUCUGAAUUACGUCCGACGACAUUGAUGGUUGCUUUGUUUAACUAGGACUUCUGCUCAAUUUUUGAUUUGAGGCUUUCGUCACACCAAUAUUUCUCGUAAGAGCAGGUGUGGCAUCGCCGGUUUUGCCCUAGCGAGGACUUAUUGCUAUUAGGGACCCAAUGGCCAUAUAGGUUUACCCAGACUUAUGCCUAGUUAUGUUCACGCGCCCAUAUUUCGGGGGGAUUUAGGGAUAAGAAGUUUAUCCGCACACAUCGCCGACGAGUGACGGCGAGCUGCGUCGGUUUUUCCGGAGCGAUCCCCAGACUUCAAGGUCGUGUUGGGAUCGCCACCUUCAGGGAAUUUUUCCCACCUAGCUCUCGCCGCAAUUCAGUGUGAUUGAAAUUGCUGGAUACAAUUUUUGUAUUUUCAAUCAGACGUGAUAGUCAACAAACUCCUGAGAUGGAGAACAAGAACGUGUCUUUGUUUUUACCAUUUAGGCGCUUAGGCCAACAAACUCUCGAAAUGGAGAACAAGAACAUGUCUUUGUUUUUACCAUUUAGGCGCUUUGACAACAAACUCUCGAAAUGGAGAACAAGAACGUGUCUUUGUUUUUACACCUUCAAUCUUUGCGAGACGCGCUUAGCUGAUCGUCCUCGCUCCGAAAACAGCUCCUUGUCAAUCCCUUAGCUGUAAUAGUAUUUUAGGCUCGCCGCGUUCCAGGAGCGUGGUACUCUCCUUCCGUCCAAGCUUUCCAGGUGAUAGGCCCCAUUCCCUAAGGCCUUCAAAAUUCUGUAGGGGCCUUCCCAGAUUGGACUCAGCUUAUUCCCAGUGCUCUCGGUUCGAUUCUUUAGCACCAGGUCCCCCUCCUGCAUCGCCCUCGGUCACACUUUCGAGUCAUACUUUGACAACACGGGUGGUGCGGACAACAUCUCUUUGAGGCGUUUAAAGGCUUCUUCGCAUUCUGAACUCCACUCGAAUGCCGCAUUCUUCUUUAGGCACUUGAAGAAUGGGGCCGACUUGUCGCCCGGAUGAGGGAGAAACCUGGACAGGGCUGCAAUCCGCCCUGUCAGGCGUUGCACCUUUUUUACACUGCUGGAGCUUUUCAUUUCUUGGAUUGCUUUACACUUAUCUGGAUUGAUCUUAAUCCCUCUUGACGUAAUUGUGAAGCCUAAAAACUUCCCGCCCUGUAUACCAAAAGAACACUUCUCCGGAUUGAGCCUCAUAUUAUGUUUUCGGAGCCUGCCAAAAGCUUCUGUCAAAUCCUCAUGAUGGCUUGAUCCCAAAACCGAUUUCACGAUCAUAUCAUCGACAUAUACCUCCAUGUUCCUUCCUACUUGAACUUCAAAUACCCUAUCCAUCAACCGCUGAUACGUCGCCCCUGCAUUCUUCAGCCUAAAGGGCAUAGUUUGAUAACAGUAGUUUACCCUAGCGGUCAUGAAGGCCGUUUUGUCUUCAUCCGAUGGGUGCAUCUUGAUUUGGUGAUAUCCCGAAUAGGCAUCCAUCAGACUCAGCAGCUCAUUUCCUGACGCUCCAUCCACUAGCUUGUCUAUGCUCGGUAAUGGAUAAGAAUCUUUCGGACAUGCCUUGUUCAGGUCUGUGUAGUCUACACACAUCUGCCAUUUUCCGUCCGCCUUCUUUACCAUCACCACAUUCGCCAGCCAAGUAGGAUACUUAAUUUCCCGGAUGAAGUCUGUCGCCAGUAAUUUGUUCACCUCUUGCUGGAUUACCUUCUCCUUUUCAUCGCCCAUUCGCCGGCGCGUCUGGGUCACUGGUUUAAUUCCGGGAUUUAGCGCCAGCCUGUGGCAAAUGAAGUUCGGGUCUAUCCCUGGCAUGUCCUUGUGACUCCAAGCAAAGAGAUCCAAGUUCUCGCCCAAUAGCUUUGAUAAUCUCUGUUCCUGGGCCUCAGUCAGUCGGGUCCCUAUCUUGAGUAUCUUCUCGCCAAAUUUCAGUUCCUUGGUCUCCUCGAUCGGCGUGGGCUUGUUGACUCGCCCCUCGCCCCUUGGAUCUAGGUUUUCUUCCGGCACAUCGACCUCGUUGCAUCGGUGUCCCACCGAGGAGUUCCUUUUCCCGUACCGGUCUACCGCGUUGCAGUAGCACUCCCUCGCCGUUUUCUGGUCCACAACCACUCUCCCAAUUUGUCCAUUCGGCAAAUGAUAUUUAACCGCCAAGUGUGCUGUCGAAAUCACAGCGCACAGGCGGUUCAAGGUGUUUCUGCCAAUUAUCUUGUUGUACGAUCCCUCCGUUCCUAGGAUCAAGUAUUUCACCUUCAGCGUCCUAGCGUUCUCUCGCUCGCCGAAUGUGGUAUCAAGGUCAAGGACGCGUCUCACCCAUACUUGCUCGCCCGUAAACCCCACCAGAGUCCCUGCAUAAGGAGUGAGAUAUGCCUCAUUCAAAUCGAGCCGAUCAAAUACCUCGCCGUAAAUGAUGUUCGCUAAACUCCCUUGAUCCAAAAGUACUCGUUGUACAUUAAGUUGGUUGACGCGAAAGAGGAUUACAAUCAGAGCGUCUAGAUGUGGCUUUAUUCCAACGAAGUCAUCGGACGAAAAGGUAAUGUCUGGAUGUGAAAAACCGAAAGGAACUUCUGUUACCGUGUUCACUGCCCUAGCAUACCGCUUCCUAGCUGCACUGGUGAUUCCUCCUCCUCCAAACGCUCCGGCAAUCGUGUGUACUCCUUUGGGUAUUGGAGCUCUACCGCCCUGCACUCUAGUAGGUCUUCCUGCCGCUAUCAGUUUCCCAACUUCACGCUGCAACGUGCGGCACUCCUCUGUGACGUGGUCCAUGGCCUGGUGAUAAACGCACCACUCACCUCCCGACUCGCCACUUAUUCGCGUUGUUAACGGCUCUCGGAGGAUUUCCGAUGUAGACGGUUUGUCCAGGCGCGCCAGCUUUCCUUUUAGAGAUGAGUUUCUCCAUUCCUUCGAGGAUUUCCAAUAGCUUUUCCUUUGCAACAUCCGAAGCUUCGUCGUUGUAUUUGCUUCUCGGGCCUCCGUGUCCUGCUGCUCCAAACCACGACUUAUGUCGCGAAUCAGCCACCUCCAAUCUCUGAGUGUCCAACGACCAGGGUGACGGCGGUUUUCCUUCUGAGAAUUUCAACAAGGAGACUGAAGAUUCCGCCUCCUUCUCGCGUCGCCUUCUAUAUGCUUGAUGCGGAUUGCGCGUGUGCUUCAUCCUUCGUUCGCUUUGUCGACGUUGCGCUUCCAUUAAGUGCCACCAACAAAUCAAGAAUUUGACUCAGAAAUUGAAAACCGAAGAGAAUCGCACGAAAAAACGAACUUCACUCAGCUAAACCAUGCUCCACGUAGUCCGGGAAUCGAAAUCUACCGUUCCCCACAGACGGCGCCAAAUGUUCCAUUAUGAACAUUGAAAUGAGGUAUAGUACCUAAGGUGCAAGGAACGUGAUGUGAGAUUCCUAGAGAGAAUGAGAGCGUAACCGCUUAGAGAGAGAAAGUAACUGAAUUUCCAGUUUGUUAUUUCUCAAAUAAUCUAAGAGUCCCUUACAAUUGGUCACCGUCCCUUAUUUAUAGUUGGGGGAGUUGGGCCUAACGCCUCUAAACCAUCCUAAUGGGCCGGUUGGGCCUCCAAGACGAAGGCCCAAGUCCCUGAUGCGCUCCUCGCCCUAGGCCAGCGCCCCUGGGCGAGGGACCCUGGGGUCUCGCCCAGUCCAGGUUGAAAUGAUUUGUCUCAUGACAUAACUCUGAUUUUGUAUUCAAUACUUUUUUGAAUGGUUUGGAAUUUGUUCUAAAAUCAUGUCAUGUCAAUUCCUUCUGAAUUAAUUCUUAGGACAGAAGAAGAGACCAAAGUAACUGGUUAUUUCACCUCGAGUUCUAUCAUAUAUAGUUUUGAUAAAUUAUUUUAAAGUACUAUUUAAAGAAUAUGGAUCUGCUUUCUACUCAUCAUUUGUUCUUAUUCAUUCUUCUCAUGAAUUAGUUAUUGUACAGGUUGUUGGAAACCUUUUAGUGGAGGCAUUGGAAACCUUUAAGUUAGUUUGUGUUGCAAAUGUGGCCAGCCUUUAUAGUGAGAUGAAAAGGAGGACUAAAAACAUUCAGACCUAUGCAUUUUGGGUGUUAAAGCUGGGAUAUAGUGAUUUAGGAGAGAGAGAGAGAGAGAGUUAGGAAGUAGGGGAAAUAGGUUGAGAUUAGAGUAUAUCGACUAUUGAGACAUUCACAGUAGAAUGACCCUGAAGGAGCAAACACCAUCAAUCUGCAAUUUGCAAACUAGAUAAUGCUUGCUGUCAUGUGAAAAGGUCUCUUCUACCUGUCCUCUUGCCAUGUCUUUCCUCCCUGAUUUUUUUCCAAGUUUGUGUUGCCUUUCUUAGUUUUUAUUAUGUUGGUGAUCUGAGCUAUUCUCAACUAUUCUUAUGAUGUUUUUAAUGUUGGCUUCUUCUAUAUACAGUGGUUUUUUUUAUGUGCUCUGAGUUUAUUUCCAUUUGAUCUUUUUUCCCUGUUGUAUUAUUUUCUUGUUGUUUUUUUCUAACUUGAAAACCUUUGGAUACAAGUAUUGCACUUGAGGUCAUCCUAAUGCAUCGAAUGCACUUGCUACAAUUACACAUUAUAAUGUUUCUCACUUUUCAUUCUCCACGUACCUCUACAUUCUGGAUUUUGUUAUGGAUACCGGUGGGAACUGAGAAGUUAAUCAUACAUUCCAUUAGUAGUUCUCCCAUGUUGCCGAACUGACAUUAUAUACUGCUUUGCUCUCUGAUUUUAAUGCUUUUUUCCUGAUAUUUUUCUUCAAUGGCCUCUAUUUCAAAGUAUGCAUAUGGUUAAGCAGAGAGCGUGAAAUGCUGGGUAUUCUUCUUUUUUUGACAGUAUGGUUAUUUCUCAACAUAAUUAUUGCUUCAAAACUUUUUUCCUGGUGAUUUUCUUCAAUGGCCUCUAUUUCACAGUGUGCAUAUGGCGUCUAUGAUCUCAAACGAUGUGUGCUUACAUUCAAAGCCAAGGUCAAUAAGAUGUGUGAAGCUGCUGAUAAGAUUGUGGAACUGGCCACUUUGGAGAGGACAAAGGCUGCUGAGGAAUAGAGUUUGAGCUCAACAAGCAAGGAAAAAGGCAUAACAAAGAAGAGGAAAAGUGAUACUUAAAAUUAUUUGAGAACAAAAGUCAAAAAACUUAGAGAUGAAGAAAUCAGAUUUCAAGGAUAGACUUUUCACUUUGUAGAGUAAGAAUCAAAUGCUUAAUGCUAAUAUAGAUGCUGAAGAAUACAACAGAAGAGGGAGCAAUGGUGGUAUCUAUCAUGCUGAAUGAACUUAUUACAAAAAUAGCAGAGGAAACAUAGAACUGUAAUAGAGAGUAAAAUGUUAGUUUUGAUUAUUCUCAUUUUGUAGGGGUGCAUGUGGAUAUGACAUGAAGUGAAGGAUGAAUCAUAAG